CGUGGCUCAUUCUCCUGUUUAUGAUUGCCCCGCACUGCGGCAGAGCUCAUAAAAACUGAAUGACGCACCAAACGGAGCCUGCCGUCCACCAACCGAUAAUCGCUUGCUUUGCAACGUUAUCAAGCAUCGGGCGCAACGUUGAGUAAGGCUCCACCUC
rfam:Pantoea sp. AS1 37__len__85198, whole genome shotgun sequence.